rnacentral:rRNA from 1 species
GAUGAACGCUGGCGGCGUACCUAAUACAUGCAAGUCGAGCGAACAGAUGAGGAGCUUGCUCCUCUGACGUUAGCGGCGGACGGGUGAGUAACACGUGGAUAACCUACCUAUAAGACUGGGAUAACUUCGGGAAACCGGAGCUAAUACCGGAUAAUAUAUUGAACCGCAUGGUUCAAUAGUGAAAGACGGUCUUGCUGUCACUUAUAGAUGGAUCCGCGCCGCAUUAGCUAGUUGGUAAGGUAACGGCUUACCAAGGCAACGAUGCGUAGCCGACCUGAGAGGGUGAUCGGCCACACUGGAACUGAGACACGGUCCAGACUCCUACGGGAGGCAGCAGUAGGGAAUCUUCCGCAAUGGGCGAAAGCCUGACGGAGCAACGCCGCGUGAGUGAUGAAGGUCUUCGGAUCGUAAAACUCUGUUAUUAGGGAAGAACAAAUGUGUAAGUAACUAUGCACGUCUUGACGGUACCUAAUCAGAAAGCCACGGCUAACUACGUG